UCUUUGGAGUCGUGGGUGGUCACGAGAUCACAGACGAGCCCCCAAAUGAAAGACCACCGGGAUGGGGAAGACCCCCACUCAAAUCUCGAGAGGACACAACCCCCAAGAACUCAUGAGAAACC
rnacentral:pre_miRNA from 14 species